UUUGGGCAAGAAGACCCUAUGAAUUUUAAAAUAAUUAAUUUCUUAUAAGAAAUUAAUUAUUUUUAGUUGGGGCAACUAGAAAAUAUUAUAAACUUUUUAUAUAAUAAAAUGACCCAUUAUUAAUGAUUAUUUGAGAAAAAUACUCUAGGGAUAACAGCGUAAUAAUUUUUGAUAGAACCUAUAGACAAAAUAGUUUGCGACCUCGAUGUUGGAUUAGGAUACUUUUUUAAUGAAGAUGUUAAAA
rnacentral:rRNA from 1 species